CGCCCACCAGCUAGCCCAAGCCUUAAUAAACCAAAACUUUAAUGUUAUAAAUAACCAUAGACACCCGACAAUUCAACUAAACAAAACAUUUUUCCCCUUGAGUAUAGGCGAUAGAAAU
rnacentral:rRNA from 1 species